rnacentral:rRNA from 1 species
UUGGAGGGCAAGUCUGGUGCCAGCAGCCGCGGUAAUUCCAGCUCCAAUAGCGUAUAUUAAAGUUGUUGCAGUUAAAAAGCUCGUAGUUGAAUUUCGGGAUCAGCAGGUCGGUCGUGCCUUCGGUACGUACUGGUGUCGCUGAUUCCUCCCUCUUGACAAACCGUAAUGCCAUUAAUUUGGUGUUGCGGGGAAUCAGGACUGUUACUUUGAAAAAAUUAGAGUGUUUAAAGCAGG